CACAUGAACCUCAAGCGUUAUCCGGAUUUAUUGGGCGUAAAGGGUGUGUAGGCGGCUCUGUUAGUCUUUUGUCAAAGACCUCAGCUCAACUGAGGAACGGCAAAGGAAACGGCAGAGCUUGAGGGUGUGAGAGGUAUACGGAACUCAUGGUGUAGAGGUGAAAUUCGUUGAUAUCAUGGGGAACACCAAAGGCGAAGGCAGUAUACUGGCACACUCCUGACGCUGAGACACGAAAGCCAGGGUAGCGAACGGG
rnacentral:misc_RNA from 1 species